AGUGAACGCUGGCGGCAGGCCUAACACAUGCAAGUCGAACGGCAGCACAGUAAGAGCUUGCUCUUACGGGUGGCGAGUGGCGGACGGGUGAGGAAUACAUCGGAAUCUACCUUUUCGUGGGGGAUAAUGUCGGGAAAUUUACGCUAAUACCGCAUUCGUCCUCCGGGUGAAAGCAGGGGAUCUUCGGACCAUGUGCGAUUGAAUGAGCCUAUGUCGGCUUAGCUAGAUGGCGGGGUAGAGGCCAACCAAGGCGACGAUCCGUAGCUGGUAUGAGAGGAAGAUCAGCCAGACUGGAACUGAGACACGGUCCAGACUCCUGGGCGAAGAAACAGUGGGGAAUAUUAGACAAUGCAGGCAUGCGUGAUCCAGCAAUACCGCGUAGGUGAAGAAGGCGUUCGGGUUGUAAAGCCCUUUAGUUGGGAAAGAAAAACAGCAGGUUAAUACCCCGCUAUACCGACAGUACCCAAAGAAUAAGCUCCGGCUAACUUCGUG
rnacentral:rRNA from 1 species